rnacentral:rRNA from 1 species
AUGUUUUGCUUCUCUCACACGCGCGGCCCGGGUGCACAUCCUUCUAAUACAUCACAAGUUCCAAGCCAAACUUCAAAAAACCAGCAAAUUAUAAUUUUUGGAAACAUAUCGAACAUCAAUCUUAUUUCGAAUAUCUUGUCAAGACAUAAAUUACAGGAAAAACAGAUCUUAAAUCAAUCAUUCAGUUCAAAAUAUAUGAACCAUUUUAUGUUUGGCCAGAAAAACAAACAUACAGAUCUUUUGAUGGGAGUUAGUGCUGUGGAGUGCGGGUUAGUUUGUAGAAAGUGCAAGGUUGCCUUUGCAAAAAAGGCAUAG